AACUGAUACUACCUGCGGGAACCUGCGGAAGGAUCAUUAAAGAGAAAACUGCCCUUUGGGUAGAUUUCCCACCCUUUGUUUACUUUACCUUUGUUGCUUUGGCAGGCCCGUCUUCUGACCACCGGCUUCUAGCUGGUCCGUGCCUGCCAGAGGACCCCCAACUCUUGAUUUUAAGUUGUCCGAGUCUUAUAUAAUAGUAAAAACUUUCAACAAUGGAUCUCUAGAUCGGAAGAGCACACG
rnacentral:misc_RNA from 1 species